rnacentral:rRNA from 1 species
CCUACGGGAGGCUGCAGUGGGGAAUAUUGGACAAUGGGGGCAACCCUGAACCAGCCAUGCCGCGUGUGUGAAGAAGGCCCUCGGGUUGUAAAGCACUUUCAGUGAGGAAGAACGCCUGGUGGUUAAUACCCAUCAGGAAAGACAUCACUCACAGAAGAAGCACCGGCUAACUCCGUGCCAGCAGCCGCGGUAAUACGGAGGGUGCGAGCGUUAAUCGGAAUUACUGGGCGUAAAGCGCGCGUAGGUGGCUUGAUAAGCCGGUUGUGAAAGCCCCGGGCUCAACCUGGGAACGGCAUCCGGAACUGUCAAGCUAGAGUGCAGGAGAGGAAGGUAGAAUUCCCGGUGUAGCGGUGAAAUGCGUAGAGAUCGGGAGGAAUACCAGUGGCGAAGGCGGCCUUCUGGACUGACACUGACACUGAGGUGCGAAAGCGUGGGUAGCAAACAGGAUUAGAUACCCCUGUAGUC